UACGGGGGGGGGCAAGCGUUGUUCGGAAUUACUGGGCGUAAAGGGCUCGUAGGCGGCCAACUAAGUCGGAUGUGAAAUCCCCAGGCUUAACCUGGGAACUGCAUCCGAUACUGGAUGGCUUGAAUCCGGGAGAGGGAUGCAGAAUUCCAGGUGUAGCGGUGAAAUGCGUAGAUAUCUGGAGGAACACCGGUGGCGAAGGCGGCAUCCUGGACCAAUUCUGACGCUGAGGAGCGAAAGCCAGGGGAGCAAACGGG
rnacentral:rRNA from 1 species